rnacentral:lncRNA from 1 species
GAAGAUGAGCCCCGGGCUAGUGUCAGUCAUGGUCUUCCCAGCACACACCUGUCACCAGGUUGAACGUUACGGUCCCCAGCACCAUAGCCAGAAGCACCCUUGUGAUUAUGCCGCUGCUUGUGGUGUAAGCCCCGAGGACCCAGCGUUCUGGCCAGACACGUGACUUCACACAGCCAACCUUCAAGGUAAGGGGUCCUCAGGUCUUGUGGGUAAUGGUUCAGCUUACUGUUUGCUCUGGAGUGUGCCCUGUGCGUGGUCUCUGAUGAAGUGUGAAUCAAGCUAGCUUAGGUUGUGACCCCAUCUUCUUUCCAGAACAGUGUGCCUCAGCUGCCCUAACCACAGGCCCACGAUCUCGCUGGGGUUUCCAGAACGGUGUGCAUUCAUUCGGCUAUACAAACCGCAGGCCCGAGAUCCUGCAGGGCUUCCUCACGCCAUGCUUCUCCUUCUGCUUGCGCCACAGAUAUUUGCUGACUCCAUGUUCUGUGAAGAACCAGAGCCAGGCAAUACACAGAAGAUCUGCCAGCCCUGCAGCAGUUAUGGGUAACCUUGUUGCCCUGAAGUCUUGCUCUGUGCCUGUGAGACUCUAGGGCUGUUUAGCACACAUUGUCCUCACUGUCUGUUAUAGUUUAAGUAUAAAAUGUCCAGAGUUCCAUGUGCUUGAAUAGCUGCCCCCCCCCUUCUGGGGACCUUAUAAAUACUUCUAGACUUAGAGCCUAGCAGGCCGAGGUGGGUGUGCCCUUGAUGGUUGUAACCAGACCUGCUCCAGUGCUCUCCUGUCUCCUACUUGCCAUGAUGAAACAUUCAGGUGCCAUGUCUUCCCACCAUGAAGUAUUUCCUGAAAGUGUGAGCCAAAGCAGACCUUUCUUUCCCCCGUGGACUUUUCCUCUGUCAAGUACUCUGUCACAGUGCUGAGGUACCAAUGACUUCUCACAAAGGCCAUGUCUGCCAAAGACCAAGCACACUGGAGCAACCCCUGGACCCUCAGGCUCCUUGACCAGUUACUAGUGAGAGAGUUCAGAUACCUUCAGGCUUUCAGAAACUACAGCACUUGAGACAGUGCCAACAAUACAGCCAGAGUGGAGACGUGAGCUGUGGGGUAAGAGGACACUGGGCACCAUGUGAAGACCUGUCUGCACACAGCCUCUGAGAAGUCCCCUAGCCACCCACCUCCGUCCUGGCAUCCUCCAAACACAGGCAAGCCUCUUUUGCUGGAGCCUUUUACUGCUUAAUGUGGACUUUACAAAUGAGAGAAUGUAGUCUCUCUGAGUCUGGCUGUUUUGCUUAAUAUAAUGAUCUCUUAAAAUAUCCUGACUUUAUCCUUUAUGGGUGGGUGAAGCGCCACUGUGAACACACUGCAUAAUCUUCCUUUCUGCAUCUGUGCAGACACUGACACUGGGUUAUAACUAGACUGUUGCGAGUAGUGCUGCAGUAAACACGGUGCACAGGCGUUGCAGUGUGCUGGUGUAGGUUCCUUCCAGAAUGUUCAGAAGCAAGCUGGUUGGAUCCUAUGAGGUUCUGUCUAUAGUUUCCUUAGGACCUCCAUGCUGAUCUCCACAGUGGUGGCAGUAGUUUGUAUCCUGGCCAGCGGUAGUAAGUGCCCCUCUCCACAGCAUCCUCGGC